rnacentral:hammerhead_ribozyme from 1 species
GUACUGAUGAAGAGUCCCAAACUAGGACGAAACAAAUUUCCAGUAC